rfam:Triticum aestivum genome assembly, contig: Triticum_aestivum_CS42_TGACv1_scaffold_220845_3B
UUUCUACUCCCUCCGUCCGAAAAUACUUAUCAUCAAAAUGGAUAAAAAGAGAUGUAUCUAAAACUAAAAUACGUCUAGAUACAUUUCCUUUUAUCCAUUUUGAUGACAAGUAUUUCCGGACGGAGGGAGUAUUUG